rnacentral:rRNA from 1 species
UCCUACGGGAGGCAGCAGUGGGGAAUAUUGGGCAAUGGGCGAAAGCCUGACCCAGCAACGCCGCGUGAAGGAUGAAGGUCUUCGGAUUGUAAACUUCUUUGAUCAGGGACGAAACAAAUGACGGUACCUGAAGAACAAGCCCCGGCUAACUACGUGCCAGCAGCCGCGGUAAUACGUAGGGGGCGAGCGUUGUCCGGAAUUAUUGGGCGUAAAGGGUUCGCAGGCGGUCUGAUAAGUCAGAUGUGAAAGGCGUAGGCUCAACCUACGUAAGCAUUUGAAACUGUCAGACUUGAGUUAAGGAGAGGAAAGUGGAAUUCCUAGUGUAGCGGUGAAAUGCGUAGAUAUUAGGAGGAAUACCAGUGGCGAAGGCGACUUUCUGGACUUAUACUGACGCUGAGGAACGAAAGCGUGGGGAGCAAACAGGAUUAGAUACCCUGGUAGUCCACGCCGUAAACGAUGAGUGCUAGGUGUUGGGGGUCAAACCUCGGUGCCGCAGCUAACGCAUUAAGCACUCCGCCUGGGGAGUACGUACGCAAGUAUGAAACUCAAAGGAAUUGACGGAAUCUG